rnacentral:other from 1 species
AGUUCCCUGCUGUGCGCGUUUUCGUUUGACGUGUUUUGAGCCAACACCAACUUAAACGGGAGCCUAACUUUAAACGUGGAUUGUAAGCCCCGUUUUGUACGGGGAAACAUGAAACCUUAAGAAGGCACCCACCUAUAAAAUUAGGUUCAUAAAAUUGUCAAACCUGACGGCAUAGCGGGGAUUUU